CCUACGGGAGGCAGCAGUGGGGAAUAUUGCACAAUGGGGGAAACCCUGAUGCAGCAACGCCGCGUGAAGGACGAAGGUGCCAAGCAUUGUAAACUUCUUUUGUCAAGGGACAAAAUCAGGCUCGAGAGCCUGACCGAGGGUACUUGAAGAAAAAGCAUCGGCUAACUCCGUGCCAGCAGCCGCGGUAAUACGGAGGAUGCGAGCGUUAUCCGGAUUUAUUGGGUUUAAAGGGAGCGUAGGCCGGUCUUUAAGCGUGCCGUGAAAUUUUGUGGCUCAACCAUGAGAGUGCGGCGCGAACUGGAGACCUUGAGUGCGCGGAAGGCAGGCGGAAUUCGUGGUGUAGCGGUGAAAUGCUUAGAUAUCACGAAGAACCCCGAUUGCGAAGGCAGCCUGCCGCAGCGUUACUGACGCUGAAGCUCGAAAGCGCGGGUAUCGAACAGGAUUAGAUACCCUUGUAGUC
rnacentral:rRNA from 1 species